CCUACGGGCGGCAGCAGUGGGGAAUAUUGGACAAUGGGCGAAAGCCUGAUCCAGCCAUGCCGCGUGUGUGAAGAAGGCCUUCGGGUUGUAAAGCACUUUCAGUGGGGAAGAAAGCCUUGGGGCUAAUACCCUCGAGGAAGGACAUCACCCACAGAAGAAGCACCGGCUAACUCCGUGCCAGCAGCCGCGGUAAUAUGGAGGGUGCGAGCGUUAAUCGGAAUUACUGGGCGUAAAGCGCGCGUAGGCGGUCUGAUAAGCCGGUUGUGAAAGCCCCGGGCUCAACCUGGGAACGGCAUCCGGAACUGUCAGGCUAGAGUGCAGGAGAGGAAGGUAGAAUUCCCGGUGUAGCGGUGAAAUGCGUAGAGAUCGGGAGGAAUACCAGUGGCGAAGGCGGCCUUCUGGACUGACACUGACGCUGAGGUGCGAAAGCGUGGGUAGCAAACAGGAUUAGAUACCCUAGUAGUC
rnacentral:rRNA from 1 species